rnacentral:rRNA from 1 species
UGAGUACGAAAUGCUACGGCAUUGAAGCAGUCUAUGUCAUACUUCCUAGAAAAGCUUGCACUGUCAUAAACAAAUAAUGCCUGUACCAUAACCGACACAGGUGGGUAGGUAGAGUAUACUAAGGGGCGCGAGAUAACUCUCUCUAAGGAACUCGGCAAAAUGACUCCGUAACUUCGGGAGAAGGAGUGCCUUAUUUAUAAGGUUGCAAUAACAAGAUCCAAGCAACUGUUUAUCAAAAACACAGGUCUCCGCUAAGUCGUAAGACGAUGUAUGGGGGCUGACGCCUGCCCAGUGCCAGAAGGUUAAAGAAGUUGGUUAGCAUUCGCGAAGCUGAUAACUGAAGCCCUGGUGAACGGCGGCCGUAACUAUAACGGUCCUAAGGUAGCGAAAUUCCUUGUCGGGUAAGUUCCGACCCGCACGAAAGGCGUAAUGAUUUGGAUACUGUCUCGGAGAGGGGCUCGGUGAAAUAGACUUGUCUGUGAAGAUGCGGACUACCUGCACCUGGACAGAAAGACCCUAUGAAGCUUUACUGUAACUUGAAAUUGAAAUUGGACUUUAUUUGCGCAGUAUAGGUGGGAGGCAUUGAAGAUAUUCUUGCGGGAAUAUUGGAGCCAUCAGUGAGAUACCACUCUUGUAAUGUUAGAUUUCUAACUUUGUAUCAUUAUCUGGUCAAAGAACAGUUUCAGGCGGGCAGUUUGACUGGGGCGGUCGCCUCCCAAAUGGUAACGGAGGCGCACAAAGGUUUCCUCUGAACGGGUAGAAAUCGUAUCUAGAGUGUAAAGGCAUAAGGAAGCUUGACUGUGAGACCUACGAGUCGAGCAGGGACGAAAGUCGGUCUUAGUGAUCUGACGGUGCUGAGUGGAAAGGCCGUCACUCAACGGAUAAAAGUUACUCUAGGAUAACAGGCUGAUCUCCCCCAAGAGUUCACAUCGACGGGGAGGUUUGGCACCUCGAUGUCGGCUCAUCGCAUCCUGGGGCGGUAGUACGUCCCAAGGGUUGGGCUGUUCGCCCAUGAAAGCGGUACGCGAGCUGGGUUCAGAACGUCGUGAGACAGUUCGGUCCAUAUCCGGUGUAGGCGUUAGAAUAUUGAGAGGAGCCUUCUUUAGUACGAGAGGACCGAGAAGGACAUACCUCUGGUGUACCAGUUAUUGUGCCAACGGUAAACGCUGGGUAGCUAUGUAUGGAGAGGAUAACCGCUGAAAGCAUCUAAGUGGGAAGCCCACCUCAAGAUAAGUAUUCUC